CCGGUAACGACCGGAAGGAAUAUUUGCAAUUGAAACAUAGAGAAAUUUAUCGGGAACAACGUAAAAGUGACUUUCUGUUAUGACUGUUGAUAUUAACAUUGACGGCAAUGAGACGGAUAUUCGUUUUAUUUCUGUUGAUAAUAAGUUUACUUUUAACAUAAAAUUUUAAUUUUUAAUUACUUAAUAAAAAAUAUCACAAAAAAUCUGAUUAACAUUUCAAUAAUUGUAUAUCCGGUCAGUUUAUGGCACCUCGGGUGUUUCCGUUCUUACUCGGGUAUGUAAUUAGGACAAAAUCUCCCUCUGUGACAGAGUCGAUAUCAACUAAUUAACACCCAC
rnacentral:lncRNA from 1 species